AAGAAAAGUUAUGAAACACAGAGACUGCUAAUUAUUUGGUUCUAAAGUUAAAAUCUUUAGUUUUCUUA
rnacentral:tRNA from 1 species